rnacentral:lncRNA from 1 species
UUCGCCCCGUUCGAUCCCCUCGCGGUUACCGUUCUCCUCGUUCUCUUCCUCAUCGUCGUCGUCCUCAUCCUCCUCCUCAUCGUUGUCCCACCCAUCGAGCUCGAUUCGGAGGAAAUCGUCGUCCGACGGCGGAUUCGAGGGCGGCGGCGGGGGGACGUCCUCGUCACGCGCCGCCUGCGCGAUCAGCCGCAGGACCUGGAGGAACUGGGAGCCGAGGGCGGGAUCGUCGAGCUGAUCGGGCGGCGAGGGCUGCGCCGACGGCGCGGCCGGUAUCGAGUCGACGACGAAGCCGCCCUUGCACUCGACGCAGACGACUUCGGGGAGGUCCGCUAGGGUUUCGACGGAGACGCGCUUCUCGCAUUGGAAGCACCAGUACUCCGUGGCGGAGGCGGCGGCGGCGGAGGCAGCGGCGUCGGAGAGCACCGGCUGCGCCGGCGGCGGAGCCUGCGCCUGAGAUGGAGACUCCGACAUGUCUUCGCGGCGACGAUCGACGUGCGACGGAACCGCCGAAGAGGAACGCCGUGCGCGGCGGCGACUCACAGAGGAAACGAGUAGCGAUGAGAGAGAAAGAGAGAGAGAGAGAGAGAGAGA